rnacentral:lncRNA from 1 species
AGACGUCCCAAGGUAUGAGCUGUAGAUACGCACGUGAGCGCUGGUGGGAGACGCCAGGCUGGGAUUUCCGCUCGAUCUGGGAAUGAGCAAUGCAACCUAAUGACACCCAGAGCUCCUGAAUCACCCGAGGAAAAUGACGAGAGACUCCCUCCGGUGGGAACGUCUCCUAGAAACAAGGCCUAAGAUGGGGCGACAACAGCCCCACAGCUGUGUCCAGAUGCAGGGAGCACUCGCCUGUGCUGUGAGGGACGGCCGGUGUCAUCGUUGGAGCUUCCUAAGAGUCCCAGAGGCUGAUGCACCUCCCAGACUCUCCUCGGCCCGGCUCCCUGGGCCCUGCUCCAGGGGCUUCAUUGCUCCCUGCCCCGGGUCACCCCUCGGCUCACCGUCUCUCAGGUGUGGAAUAUCCUGCUCCAAUCAAAGCCAUGUCACCUGCGUUGUCCAGUGAAACAUCAGUGGACAGGCGCUGCCCGGGCUCCAGGGAGCUCCUCACUGAGGCUCACUCCCUGUGCCUCUGCCAUCAGCACAGGGGGACAUGCCUGGCUGCCUGUGGGACCAGGGAGGACGCGCGGUGCGGGAGCAGAGCCAGCCACACUGCCGCUGCUGCACUGUUCAUCUGAGUGGCGCAAGGUUAUGUGUUUCAGCUGCGAGUUUUUCAAAUUGUUGCAAAUCUUCAAACAUUUUUCCAACAAAUUUACUGAAAAAAAUCCACAUAUAAGUGGCACCCCCACCAGUUUAAACCUGUGUUGUUCAAGAGUCAGCUAUUUUUAUGAGGUGUUUUCAAAAGUUUAUGGAAAAUGAAUCUUAUGAAUAAAACUAUGCAUGGAUUUCAAAUCUUUUGCACCAAAAUAAACUCAUACUAACUUGUUAUAAAA